GAGGGCCCUCGGCACUAGCCAAAAAUAUUUGUUUAUUCCCCCAAAUCCUAUCAUUGUAAAUGGUGCUGAUGAGAUUACAAGCCCACUGUAUACUAAUCAGCUUAUCAGCCAAGUGAGAGCCUAGGAAAGUUAAUUGGAACACAGACUGUUUAAAUCACAGGGAGGGCACAGUAGCCAGACCUACUUCCAUUCGUUUAAUUAUCUACAACUUUAGAAAGAAAUGAUUUAUUUCCCUGAAAAUAGUACAAAGUUUGAAGUAUUCCUAUUGCAGCCUGGAAGUUGAACUCAUGCCUCUGGCUUCACCGUGAACUUAGCAGGAAAAGUGCCUGUCAAGGGGGCAUUUUUAGAGACAAUCCCAUGAUGCUGUUCUAACAGGGUCAAGCAACAGAUGUUUAGCAACAGGGUCAAGAAACAGAAUGUUUACAAAAGGAACAUUUCUAGACCAUCUACAUGAGAACAUGCCUGACCCCUCCGCCAGAAGUGGGGACACCUCUGCAUAUCUGCUCCCUCCUUAGCUGUUAAGCCCCAGGGAGCCCCAUGCACCCAGUGUGCACCCAGUGGUCUUACAGAUGGCCAGUUGCACAGGUCAAUAAACACACACUGGAAUAGCCUUUGGAUAAAUAUACAUCACACUCGAAUGUUAAUCUUUCAAGGUUUUCUUUUCUUUUUCCUGUUUUUUUUUUAAUUUGUUUUGCUUUUGCAUUUUUUGGGUGUCGAGGGGCUACCAGACCUGAGUCCUGGCGCUAAAAAUCAUACAGAAAUGGUGGGAUUGGUAUCUUGUUGUGUGAGGAAAGGCCAGCUGGCCUAAGUUCACACUUGUGGUCCAGUGGCCCAAGAUUCAUCCCAGCCAGAUCCUAAAUGAAUGUCAUACAUGUAGCCAAAAAAAAAAAAUCUGUCAUGUAG
rnacentral:lncRNA from 1 species